rnacentral:rRNA from 1 species
AACGAACGCUGGCGGCAGGCCUAAUACAUGCAAGUCGAGCGCACCCCUUCGGGGGCGAGCGGCGGACGGGUUAGUAACGCGUGGGAACGUGCCCUUCUCUAAGGAAUAGCCACUGGAAGCGGUGAGUAAUACCUUAUACGCCCUUCGGGGGAAAGAUUUAUCGGAGAAGGAUCGGCCCGCGUUAGAUUAGAUAGUUGGUGGGGUAACGGCCUACCAAGUCUACGAUCUAUAGCUGGUUUUAGAGGAUGAUCAGCAACACUGGGACUGAGACACGGCCCAGACUCCUACGGGAGGCAGCAGUAGGGAAUCUUGGACAAUGGGGGCAACCCUGAUCCAGCCAUGCCGCGUGAGUGACGAAGGCCUUAGGGUCGUAAAGCUCUUUCGCCAGGGAUGAUAAUGACAGUACCUGGUAAAGAAACCCCGGCUAACUCCG